GCGGGCGUAGCUCAGUGGUAGAGCAUAACCUUGCCAAGGUUGGGGUCGCGAGUUCGAGUCUCGUCGCCCGCU
rnacentral:tRNA from 1 species